AUCUUAUUUUGAAUUCUGGAACAGAACCCUCCGAAUUGUACUAAAACGAGCUUCGCUCUACAAAAUUUUGUAAUACUCUUUAGAUUAAAAUGAGUGAAGAUAAUUCUUCUCUAAAUUUUGAGCAUUUAUUAGAUGCACAGCAAAUUGAUGCACAACCAAACACUGCUGAAGCUUUAAAUCCGGCUGCUGCGACAGAAGAUAAGUACAUAAUGGCCACAUAUGCAAAUGCAAGAAUAAUAAAGUAAAAUGUUUCACAGAGUUCAUUAUGUUGUAACUUUCAAUUUAGAAAUGGAAAAAAUGUUGAAGUUCAACCUUUAAGUUCUGCCCUACUUCAUUAUUUAUGAUUAGUUCGACUACUUUUGAAAUAUGGUUUUGAUUUAGUAAAUUUUCAUGAACUGAGGUUUACUUUAUUGAUCAUUAGCCAACAGUUUUGGUGAUGAAGUUGAAUUCAAGACCGUCAAGGUUAAUAGAAAAUUCAUGUUUACAGAGUUGUUAUUAAUCAUAAUCGAGUUGUUAAACCA